CCCAAUACAUUUUCCCACUAAAUGAACAGUAAGGGUAUGUUUGGAACCUUUGCCAACCUUGCCUUGCCUGGUCAGCCUCGCCUUGCCUCGCUCGACAAAGCAAGGCAAGUUUUGCUUGGUCUGUUUGGUCUCCUUGCAGCCUUGCUCUCCCUUCCUACUCUUACAGACCAUGACCUCAACCAUGUGAGAGCCUGUAGCAGUGGCAAGGAGCACGAUUGGGAUUUGGGGGCUGUUGAUGCAACACCAGGAAACUUGAUUUGGGUGGUAGCUAGCUCAAGGUCAAGGGAUCUAGUGCUGGAUUUGGGCAGCAGGUAUCUCGAUGGCUGCCAAGGGAAGCUCGAUUCCUGUAGCGAAGAUCUCGAUUCCAGCACUUGAAAGCUCGAUUUGGGUGUUUGGAAGUUCGAUUCGAGCAUGGACGAACUCAGUUGGGUGCAUGAGGAACUUGAUUGUGUUGCCCAGGAUCGAUUUUUGCUGUUUCGCUUAGGUUUCGGCAGUGGCGCUUGCCAUGGCCAUUGCCAACACAUGAUUUUUAAGUCCUGCUAGCACUAGACUCAGCAAGAAGCUGCAAGCUUGCGCAACGAGCAACUUUGCUCGCGCAGGAGAGCUGAUUGCGUUGGCAAGGAAAACCUUGCCAGGCGGGGCAAGCUUGCUCGGCAAAGCAAGCUUUCUAUGAAGAACUAAACGCCUAACCUUGUCUGGCAAGGCGAGGCUAAGCAAAGCUUCCAAGCAUGCCCUAAAUUCGCUACUGUACACUAUUGUAUAAUCUCAAUUCUCAAAUAUAUAGAUGGACCGGUGCAUAUCUGAUUAUCAUAAUGGCAUGCCUUAUCUAGAAGGUGAGAUUGAGAUUGCCAUUUUAUCUCUAUCUAUUACCUUUUCUUUUCUUUUUCUAAGAGCAAAUAAAGUUUUUAGGAUUUUCUAAAGAAUUGUUAUGAUGCCAUAAGUUUUGUUGGUGCAGUUUCAAUCUCUGCAGUUUGGAUAUGCAAUUUGUGACCUUGGAGUUGUAAAAAUAUGAUACACCAUGUAGCUACUUUAUACAUGUACAUGUGUGAACCAAUAUGUAUAGAAAUGCCAUGGCUCAUCUAGGAACCCUGGACAUUACCAGACGGAGAGCUUGGCCCAAGGUCGUCUCACAGCAGAAGCCCAUGAAAUCGACUUUGACUUUCUCAUAAAAAGAGAAGAAUAUGGAAGGCAUAGAGGGUACAGCCUAGAACUUGUGUCCUAACUUAGGGCGCAGUGCAGGAAGGAAUAGAAUUGGGUAUAAUGGAUUGAAUGUAUUGUAUUAAGCUCUCGACUGGUAUAUA
rnacentral:lncRNA from 1 species